AACAGAGAUUACUGUCUGAUUUGUUCACUGCUAUAUCCCAAGCAUUUAGAAAAAUGUAGUAGGGGAUCAAUAAAUAUUUGAGUGAAUUUGUUUAAAAUAACAUGAAUGAAAUUAAACCACACUCACCUUUUGUUUGUGAGGACUAAAAAUACGAUUAUAUACAAGGAAAGUAACUAUCAGAACAUCUGACACAUAAGCCUAAGCUGGAAUAAUGCAAAGGAAUAUCUGAUUUAAUUUUUGGUGAGCUCUUCCCUCAUGUAAACACACCAAGAUCAUAAAUUCUCUCUCCAGCUUCUGUUCAGUGAAUGCUGACAGAUUUUUCUUCCUCCUUCCCCAUUAGGAACUAGCAUUUGCGUAAUUAACAGCUGCUAAAACCCUUUCUGCAGGAGCAGAAAGUUUAAAAAUUCAUGGAGACAACAUGGGCUCAGCUUCAUCAAUAUACUGAUGAGCACUGGCGGUGUGGGAGCCUAGGGUGAGCUGGAGAAUCCAGAGGCUGUGCCACUCAAGUUGCAAAGCUAAGAGAUACUUAACUUCCUGAAAAAAGGUCAAACCUGCAUCUCUGCCAAGGGAGCAGCUCCAUCUCCACCUACAGACAGACCUGCGGGGUCUUUCAUCUGCAGAGCUCUGUUUCAGCCACAUCUACAUGAAAGUAUCCACUGUCUUUGAUGAGUUCAAAUCCACUCACACAGGCCUUUACCUCCUGUGAGUGGCAACACUCUUGUUCCCACAGUGCCAUGAGAACAUGUCCUGUGGAUCUGAUGAGGAACAGAGACACCUGGAGAAGACUUAGACCCAAGCAGUACCUUAGAGUCAUCCAGAUGAGCCCCACCAAGAUGCGUCAGCUCGCAGUCAACUUGAAGAAGCAUGAAUAAAACAAAUGCUUAUCAAUCUAUACCAUCAAGUUUGUGAUUGUAUGUCAUGUAUUGGCUCCUAAUACAGCAAUGACUGGCUUAGAUUUCAGGAUCACUGAAGGCAGGGUCUGUACUCCAGCUCUGUAUCCAUAGCACCUUGUACAACCUCAGUAGAUAAUAGAAUUAAUUGAUUGAUUCUUUCUCUAUUUCCUGAGAAAAUUCUAAUCAAUGCUCCCUGUGGCCCUGUUUGAAAGGGGUUAGGUUUAACUCACUUUUCUAAAACCAACUGCAAAGGCUGGGACUUCUCGGGUCCCCAGAUCACCUUUCCUGCAGUUAUACAGAGAGCUUGUCCAUGUGCACCCCAGGCUCCUGUAUAAUCCUGAGGUCAAAAUACCACUGCCUAUUACCCCUAACAUUAAAUAUCUGAGUGGCCCAAGGGCUGACCUUGCUUAGGUUUUCUUUUCUGUGGUCAUUUGGGGUUUC
rnacentral:lncRNA from 1 species